GUGUGUGUGUGUGUGUGUGUGUGUGUGUGUGUGUGUGUGUGAGAGAGAGAGAGGGGGGGAGAUGGCUUCGUACCCACGUGGUCGCUCACGAUGGCGCACACCUAACAAAGACCUGGGUGCAUGCGUGUGUGUGUGUAGAGAAGGGGGGAAGAGGGGGGAGAUUGCUUCGUCCCACGUGGUCGCCCUUCCGAUGGCGCACACCUAACAAAGACCUAAUGUGGCCUUAAUGUCUAAAAGAGACCGAGUAAAACUCAGGACGCAGCGGUCCAACAAAGAUAAAAAUUACAGUUUCUGCUUCAAUCAGACAAUUGUUAAAAAACACUCUCUAAAGCUAAUUCUGCCCAGACCUAAUUAAGCCUCACUUGUGAAUCGCUUUGCCCGCGAUUGGUGAAGGAAAAAGAGUCUGGCGAUAAAACAGAUCUUCUGUCCGUCCUGGUGCAGAGGCGUCUGAUGGCGGCGAGGGUCCCUUACGGCAAGAGUGGCUU